GGCCUCGUGGCUCAGUUGGUUAGAGCGUUGGCUGUACUUAAGCUUUUCACUUUGCUGGCGUGGGUUCGAAUCCCACAGAGGCCG
rnacentral:tRNA from 1 species